AACGCACAUAGCGCCCACCAGCACUCUGGUGGGCAUGCCCGUCCGAGCGUCGAUGACGCCGCUCGAGCCCGCUUUCGCGUGGGCUCGGUGUUGAGGCACUAGGGAUCUUCUAGGCCUUUAAAAUCAUUGUGCGGCCCCCGCUACAGGACCCGAGCACAGUAGACCUCUCAUGUUGAGCUGCUCUGGGCCCCGCGCGGCGGUGCCAGCCAUAAAAACCCCGACACAGGCUCCCGCUUUUUAACCGGGAUGCCGCCUGAUGUUGACCUCGGAUCGGGUAGGACGACCCGCUGAACUUAA
rnacentral:misc_RNA from 1 species